AGCAACUGUAGCUAAAGGAAUUAGAACAGGGAGAACUUGCUGCCAGGGACAAAAGGAAGCAAACAGCCCAGGCUGAUGGUGCACCAGAGCCAGGAUCCCCUCUUCCCAUGAUCAAGUGGUAGAUAAGACAGAGAAGCCAGACAAGCAGACCUUCAGCAGUAUCAGAUGGGUAAGCCUGUCAUUUUACCCCCAUUCUUACACUAAAUUUUGCCUUAAUUAAAAAUUCUGAGGCCUGGGCUAUCGCCUAUGCACAAACUUUCCUGAGUCCAAAUACGGGUUAG
rnacentral:lncRNA from 1 species